GGUUCUCCUCUCUACAUUCUCGCUUGCCAAGCUCGAGUCCAAUCAACUCUUGCUUGCGGAAACAAGCGGUUGUAAUGAAGAUCCCGUGGCAAUCCAUCUUGUGCGAGGAGAUGUGACAGAGGGAUUGCCCAAGUCUCAACCACGCGCUUCAACGAAGAUAUUGCCCCGUGCCUCCCCCAUGGGUGGAGAUCCCGGAGGUUUUGGAUGCGCAAGGGUAUAGGACAGCAAUGUUCUUUACCACCGCGCCGCCAUCCCAGUCUCUUGAUUGAGCCUUGAAUGUCUUCCAUGUUGCAAGUUGCGUUCUUGUGUUGGUGUGUCACAUUACGUUGACACCCUAUACUUCUC
rnacentral:misc_RNA from 1 species